UAAUGCAUGCAAGUCGCACGGAGCUUCGGCUCAGCGGCGGACGGGUGAGUAACACGUAGGAACCUGCCCGGAAGUGGGGGAUAACUCCUCGAAAGAGGAGCUAAUACCGCAUGUGGUCUACGGACCAAAGCAGCAAUGCGCUUCUGGAGGGGCCUGCGGUGGAUUAGCUAGUUGGUGGGGUAAUGGCCUACCAAGGCGACGAUCCAUAGCUGGUCUGAGAGGACGGCCAGCCACACUGGGACUGAGACACGGCCCAGACUCC
rnacentral:rRNA from 2 species